UCAUUUAAAGGUUAGCAGCUGAAAAAGCAGCAUUUCUUUGGCUAGAGAUUACCUUUUCUUGAGCUGUUACAGAUUGUUUGGGAGAGGGGGAAGGAAGAGGAGCUAUUUUUCCUUUUUUAUUAUCGGCUAUUGCCUUAUAGUGCUUGUACCCUGUUCAAAAGCUCUGUUGCUGCUGUGUUUUGCUAUACGAGCACGUACAACCUCAAUUAAACAAAUAUUACCAGGGAGCAUCACAAGUCAAACUGCUUAGUAAGAUUUUGGAUAUGAAGUAAAUGACGAGUCAUGUUAUGCCAGGACUGAGAUUUAAGAAAAAGUUUCUUCUUGAAGAAUGAUGGUAAGACUGGAUGAUCUCAUGAUGAGCUAUAAAGGAUGUUGCUCCCUACAUACAGAUCUCUUUGUGCUAAGAUGCCUGCAGGCAUGAUAUGCCUGAUGUGCAAACCCUUCUGAGAUCCUCUUGCGCCUGUCACACACUCACUUCUGUCCCUUGUACAGACAGGAUCCUGGGAAGUUCCUUACAGCAUGAACAUCAGCAAUCCAGCAGCAUUAUGCUCAGUCUGCAGGCAAAAGUGAUCUUACAGUUGCUGCUUUGAACUCUGAGAUUAGUACAGAACAGAAUUAUAGUAAGUGGUUUAAACUGUCAAGACAGAAGCAUUUAAAUUGCAAGCUACUGAAAUUCAAAUUUUUCACUGUUAUACCAGUAAGGUUUACUGAAAAGGGCACACUACCAAUUUCAUGGUAGCAUUUCUAUAAUAACUACCUUGUACAUGUGCAUUGAUUAAGUUCUUGUUUAAAAUACCACUAUUACGAAUGGAAAUCGUUAGAGAUAUACAAAUGGUUAUUUCAUGUUACCAUUCUCAGAAGAAUGGAUUCUGGCUGAUGGAUGCAUCUUUGCUAAAUGCCUGGUUUUGGGAAUCGCAAUUUGUUACACAAAUUUGGUCAGUAUAUUCUUAGAGGAUGCUUUUUAGUAGACUGGCAUAUAAACAGUCACAAGGACUUAACUUGAAAACCAGGUAUUGUUGGUUAUUGGCUGCCAAAGAUUGAAGUGAAGCUCAUUCAUAUAUAGGAAGUCAGAUAAGUCAGUAUUAAUGGGUUAGAGCUUUUGCCUUUUUUUCUAUUUUAUCGUAUCAGGAAGACAGAAAUAUAUAUAUAUACACACAUUUCUAGGAGUCUGGUAAUCAUUUUCCCUACAAAAUCCAUCAUAUGACAUGUGUGCCCUCAUGGAAUUGCCCAGAGAAGAAUGCAAGAUCAUACAUCUUUUGGAAAGAGUAGUUCCUGAGCUUCACCAGUUCACUGUAGACCUAGGCAUCCAAGUUUAUGGUAUCUAGUCAGAAAAAUUACAUCUUACUGCAUCAGUCCCUCAGAAUUUUAUGUUGAGCCUCAUCAUCAGCAACAUGCAAAAUGUUUGAGAUUCUAAGAAUAGGAAAGAAAAAGCCAUGGUUUCAGCACCAGCAAAGGAGGAUAAAAUGAAGAAGGAACACUGGAGAUUCUGGAGUUUCCACACAAGUAUAUAUCCCUUUUUAGAUCUAUGUUAGUGGCUGAUAACUAAGGUAUCUGAUGGUACUUAAUUUUGGUAACUAAAUGUCAUAUUUCUAAAAUAAUAAACCAGUGAAAUGUUACUAAGACAUCAGAUUUUUCUCAGAAAGAAAGACAAUUCAUUCAGUGUACAUAUUUCUGGUAAUUUACUAUUUUAAAAAGUAAUGAAUAAAUCACAGACUGCUUUAACCUGGAAUUAUGUGGGUUUUAGAUUUCUCCAGUGAUGGAUAAGGAUGUGAUUAUUUCUGAUGAAUAUAAAUUUCUUGUUGGUAUGUAUAAAAGCACAGAAAAAUGACAGGAAACAUAACAGGCAUUCACACCAGUGGGGAAAUUCAAUCUGAUUGUGAACAAUUUUGAGUUCAGUAGGAGUGUACUUAUUCCUGAUGAGAUUUUUUUUAUUAUUAUUAUUAUUUUGAGCACAGAUUAUGAUCUCACCAUAAAAAAAAGCAUGACAAAUGCAACAAAUGCAGUGAAGCAGCAACUGUAUCUAAAUUUUAAAGACCAUCUCCACACUGAAUCCAGAUUUCUAGUUUACUAACCAUUUUCACCAUUAAAAAUAUAGGAGAUAUCAACAAGUCCAGUUAUCUUCCAGCAAAAUGAUGGCCAUAACUGGUAGAGCUUUCCUGAGAAGUGAGAAGAGGAGGUAUCUUCUGCCUCUGGACAAAACAUCUGUGCUUUUCAAUGCUUGCAUAGCAUGAUUGUAUUCCUAAGUACUCAUUUCAAAAAUCUGUCAUUCAUAACGACAUGUGAGUAAUCCAAGACCACCUACAUGGCUAUAUUUGUCCUUUAGGUCAAAAAGAAAUUUCAGAAAGGAGGAAAGGACCCAUUACAAAUGUGAGUGAAAGAGAGUAACACUGACCAUACGAUGAUAUGAUGAAGAUUAGCUGCAAAAAGUAAUCAGCAUCAGUGCUAAAAUCAACUUUCGCUUUUCUAGAAUAGUACCUCAGCCCAACAGGAGACUGAGGAGAGACCUCACUGCAGACUACAACUUUCUCACAAGGAGGGGGAAGGGGGGAGCAACAGGACCCAUCAAGUAGAGAGCUGCAACAAGGAAGUUGGAUAUCAGAAAAAAGUUCUGCACUGAGAGUGUGGUCAUGCCUUGGAACAGGCUGAAUAGAGCAAUGGUCACAGCACUGAACUUAACAGAGUAAGAGAAUUUAAGCAGAGAAAGAAUCUUUCUUAUCCCAGAUUAGCCACUUGUGACCAGGAAUAAAACCAUCCCCAGUCUCUGAGUCUUGUGGUAUAGGUGCACUCCCAAGCCACAUCCUAUCUUCUUGGGAUUGUAGAUGAGCAUCUGCACCUCUGCCUUAUGAAAUUCUGUUUGCUGUGCAAAAAUGGCCUGAAAUUGUGACCCAACUAUUAAUGAAGGCAUUUACUGGACUAGGAAUGUGGGACAAGCCAUAUACUCAAUCACUGUGCUGGGACUGAAUCACAACAAAGCUACACUUUAUCCAUUAGGACAUAGAGUGUAGGCAAAAUACAAUGGGAAAAAGUGACAAACAGUUGAUGUUAUUGCAUGAAUUUUAUGGGAAUAAUAACCAUUUAUU